rnacentral:lncRNA from 10 species
GUCGCGAGGAGGAGGAGGAUGUGGCGCGCGGAGGGGAAAUGGCUGCCGAAAACAAGCCGGAAGCGUUUCCCAAAGUGUAUUCUGCGGAACUAGCACCUACUGUGUUCUCAACACCGUGCCACCUAUAGAAGAUGAUCAUGGGAACAGCAAUAGUAGUCAUGUAAAAAUCUUUUUACCGAAAAAGCUGCUUGAAUGUCUGCCGAAAUGUUCAAGUUUACCAAAAGAGAGGCACCGCUGGAACACUAAUGAGAGAUCAUGAUGCAGCCGUCCUUUUGGAUUUCUUUUUAAUAAUGUGUGACCCUUCACCUUUGAUCCCCUGACCUGCAUUACCUUGGUAACCAUUUCAUUUUUUAAUUUAAUUUCAUUUUUUAAUUUUGGUGUACAAGCUGUAACAUUUCAUCUUUCAAAGUGUAACACGCUGAUUUCCUCAAAUAGAGAUACCCCUUUGAGUGAUAAAUUUGCAAAAUGCUGUCUUCAUUUUCUGUAUUAAAAUUCAUUUCAGUU